rnacentral:ncRNA from 2 species
GGCACUGGAUAGGGGUGCCCAUGCGACGGGCUGAGAGUGCGGUAUGCACAACCCUUGAACCUGAACCGGCUAAUACCGGCGGAGGAAAUGCCAGCAGUUCUCGC